GGAGAGAUGCCGGAGUGGUUGAACGGCCAGGUCUCGAAAACCUUGGGGGGCAAUCGCCUCACGCGGGUUCGAACCCCGCUCUCUCCG
rnacentral:tRNA from 1 species